AGAGUUUGAUCAUGGCUCAGGACGAACGCUGGCGGCGUGCCUAACACAUGCAAGUCGAGCGGAGGUAUAUACGAAGAAGUUUUCGGACGGAAUUGUAUAUACUUUAGCGGCGGACGGGUGAGUAACGCGUGAGCAACCUGCCUUUCACAGGGGGAUAAGGCGGCGAAAGCCGCUCUAAUACCGCAUGAGACCACGGUGAUGAUAUUACAGGGGUCAAAGGAGCAAUCCGGUGAAAGAUGGGCUCGCGUCCGAUUAGGUAGUUGGUGGGGUAAUGGCCCACCAAGCCCGUGAUCGGUAGCCGGCCUGAGAGGGUGAACGGCCACAUUGGAACUGAGACACGGUCCAAACUCCUACGGGAGGCAGCAGUGGGGAACAUUGGGCAAUGGGGGGAACCCUGACCCAGCAACGCCGCGUGAGGGAAGAAGGUUUUCGGAUUGUAAACCUCUGUUCUUGGGGAAGAGUGAAAGACGGUACCCAAGGAGGAAGCCCCGGCUAACUACAUGCCAGCAGCCGCGGUAAUACGUAGGGGGCGAGCGUUGUCCGGAAUGAUUGGGCGUAAAGGGCGCGUAGGCGGCUUUGCAAGUCAGUAGUGGAAGUCCAUUUUUCAAGGAUGGAAGUGCUACAGAAACUGCGGAGCUUGAGUGCAGGAGAGGUUAUCGGAAUUCCCGGUGUAGCGGUGAAAUGCGUAGAGAUCGGGAGGAACACCAGUGGCGAAGGCGGGUAACUGGACUGCAACUGACGCUGAGGCGCGAAAGUGUGGGGAGCAAACAGGAUUAGAUACCCUGGUAGUCCACACUGUAAACGAUGAAUGCUAGGUGUAGGAGGUAUCGACCCCUUCUGUGCCGCAGUAAACACAGUAAGCAUUCCGCCUGGGGAGUACGGUCGCAAGGUUAAAACUCAA
rnacentral:rRNA from 1 species